AUUGAACGCUGGCGGCGUGCUUAACACAUGCAAGUCGAGCGGCAGCGCGGGAGCAAUCCUGGCGGCGAGCGGCGAACGGGUGAGUAAUGCUUCGGAAUCUGCCCUUCAGUGGGGAAUAACCAGUCGAAAGACUGGCUAAUACCGCAUACGAACUGAGGUUGAAAGCAGGGGAUCGCAAGACCUUGCGCUGAUGGAUGAGCCGAAGUCGGAUUAGCUUGUUGGUGGGGUAAUGGCCUACCAAGGCGACGAUCCGUAGCUGGUCUGAGAGGACGACCAGCCACACUGGGACUGAGACACGGCCCAGACUCCUACGGGAGGCAGCAGUGGGGAAUAUUGGACAAUGGGGGCAACCCUGAUCCAGCGACGCCGCGUGUGUGAAGAAGGCCUGCGGGUUGUAAAGCACGUUUUAGUGGGGAGGAAGGUCUGCGACCUAACACGUCGUGGAAUUGACUUAACCCAACAGAAAAAGCACCGGCCUAACUCUGUGCC
rnacentral:rRNA from 1 species